rnacentral:rRNA from 1 species
UACGUAGGGUGCGAGCGUUGCCCGGAUUUAUUGGGCGUAAAGGGCGCGUAGGCGGCUCGGCACGUCCGUUGUGAAAGUCCAGGCUCAACCCUGGGAUGCCGGUGGAUACUGUCGGGCUCGAGUCCGGAAGAGGCGAGUGGAAUUCCUGGUGUAGCGGUGAAAUGACGCAGAUAUCAGGAGGAACACCAAUGGCGAAGGCAGCUCGCUGGGACGUGACUGACGCUGAGACGCGAAAGCGUGGGGAGCAAACAGG